rfam:Erythranthe guttata cultivar DTN x IM62 scaffold_23_contig_5, whole genome shotgun sequence.
UUGGCAGCGAUGAUUAUAAAAGUAAUUCCUCGUUCUGAAUGCCGUUGGCUUGAUAGACAUAUAUUACACCCAUAGAAUAUGAGCUGACC